GGAAGAAUUCUGGAGGCUGUCACAAACGUACACAUUGUGCUUGCAAUGGAGGAUUCCAGUUCAGGUCUGGGAGGAAAUACUUCAUCACAUCCUACAAGAAAUGCAAAGACAUUGAUGAGUGUGAGACUGGGCUGUCAAAUUGCAAGCCAGAAGCC